rnacentral:rRNA from 1 species
UGGGGAAUAUUGGACAAUGGGCGCAAGCCUGAUCCAGCCAUGCCGCGUGAGUGAUGAGGGCCCUAGGGUUGUAAAGCUCUUUCACCGGUGAAGAUAAUGACGGUAACCGGAGAAGAAGCCCCGGCUAACUUCGUGCCAGCAGCCGCGGUAAUACGAAGGGGGCUAGCGUUGUUCGGAUUUACUGGGCGUAAAGCGCACGUAGGCGGACUUUUAAGUCAGGGGUGAAAUCCCGGGGCUCAACCACGGAACUGCCUUUGAUACUGGAAGUCUUGAGUAUGGUAGAGGUGAGUGGAAUUCCGAGUGUAGAGGUGAAAUUCGUAGAUAUUCGGAGGAACACCAGUGGCGAAGGCGGCUCACUGGACCAUUACUGACGCUGAGGUGCGAAAGCGUGGGGAGCAAAACAGGAUUAGAUACCCUGGUAGUCCACGCCGUAAACGAUGAAUGUUAGCCGUUGGGGAGUUUACUCUUCGGUGGCGCAGCUAACGCAUUAAACAUUCCGCCUGGGGAGUACGGUCGCAAGAUUAAAACUUAAAUGAAUUGACGGGGAUCAUAGCUGUUUCCU